UACGGAGGGGGCUAGCGUUGUUCGGAAUUACUGGGCGUAAAGCGCGCGUAGGCGGACCUGCAAGUCGGGGGUGAAAGCCCGAGGCUCAACCUCGGAACUGCCUUCGAUACUGCGGGUCUCGAGUCCGGGAGAGGUGAGUGGAAUUCCUAGUGUAGAGGUGAAAUUCGUAGAUAUUAGGAAGAGCACCAGUGGCGAAGGCGGCGCACUGGCCCGGUACUGACGCUGAGGCGCGAAAGCGUGGGGAGCGAACAGG
rnacentral:rRNA from 1 species